UAAUCUGAAGAUGUACACGUAUUGGGACACCCCUCCAUCAGCUUCUUCUUAUCCGUUUUCUCCAUUCCUUCUCCCUCAGCUCUAAGAACAAGUUAAAGAAGAAAAAGGCUUGGAGAAGUGAUGUUGGCAGGUUUUGACCUUUGGGCUUGAUAGAGCUGCCGAGUUAGGGCUGUAGCUGAGGAAGCGUUGGAACUGAAGUUCAGGUUGUUGGAGCUGAGAGUAACCAGAGGGAUCAUCAAAUUAAGCCCUAAGGGCAAGCUUAGGGAGAAAAGCUUGAUAGAGUUGGAUUCUUCCUUGUGUUGAAGCUGAGGGAAGUGGCCGAGAAGCAAGCUUGCGCUAUUUGUAUGCAGGAAAGCUAAGAGGAAAGUGUGAAGAGAGGGGAUGUUGCAGGGCUGCUGCCUUUUUGAACUUGUGGGCCCGAAUUGAAGAGGGAGACUGAAGGGUGCUUUGAAUUAGGAGCUGUGAAGGAGAAAUUAAAGUGUAGAAUUGGUGUUGAGCUGAGAAGAAAAAGUUGCUGCCUUGAGUGAAUUUCUUUGGUGCUCCGAGCUGAAAAGAAGACUACAGAAACUGACAGUAACUAAGUUGAGCAUUGAGAUUGAGCGUGCUCGGAAGUUCGAAGUCACAUUCCGGCAGACUUGUGGCGCACUAAUUACGGUAGAAGCCAUUUUAGCUUUAGUUGCAACGAGUCGCGAGAGAUCAUUGUUGACAUAGUUUGAGACGUUGAUUCUAGCUAUUGGCAUCCCUACAGGUUUCAGCUCAUGCAGGGUGAUCGAGGAUCGUGGUAUGGACAGCGUUCCAUAGAUAGUGGACAUCCACUGGGUAUAGUUGUACCUUAUCUAUUUCAUCUGUUUAUAAUUGAUCUAAACAAAUGUAAAAUUAUUUAUUGAGAAAUGGCAAUGUAUAUAUUGGAAGAAUGAAUGUAAUAAUUAUGUAAGCUAUGUAAAAUUAUUUAUUGAGAAAUGGCAAUGUAUAUAUUGGAAGAAUGAAUGUAAUAAUUAUGUAAGCUUUGUAUUUGAUUUAAAGUAAUCAAGAUACAAUAUAUGAAUGCUUUAGUUAGUU